GAGAACCAAAUAACUUCUGUAUUCUCUAAAGAGGUCUUUGACUUCUUUGGAGAAAAGACAAAUCCCGCAGAGGACGGAAACUGAAAGAUUGUCUCCAUGGCUGAGUUUGGGGACUGAGAUUAAGAAGGAACCAAUUGAUCCCUGGAGAGCAUCACUCUUGCUCUGGCAGUGACUGAGGUUCCAUAUCCACAGAUCCCUAAAAACUUGCUCAGGCUCUCUGGACCCUGGACAUAUCCAGGGAAGAAAACCAUUUGAGACGGGAGCGAUGAAAAAGAGGGAACAGGACAGACAGAGCUGCUGCGGUUAAGAAGGCAAUACCCUUUGGACAACUGUGGAGCCCAUCUAACUCUCUGAACCUCAGAACCUGUGGACUCUCCAAACCUCGGCUUGUCCCUUCUCCAGCAGCAAGUCCCUUCACCACUUCCCACGCUCACCUCCACACCUCUCAUUACCACCUCAAGCGUGAAGACUCAAGAUUACAGCUUUUCUGCAUGGAGUUCAAAUCCCUCCACAAGCUGGUCUGUGUUGAUGUCUCUCACUCAGAGUCAUGAUGCCGUGGUGCAGAAGGAACAUCGACGGUGCCCUCAGCUCCUGCGCUCUUCCCUGGAGUGUUAACGCCACCUUAUAGGAAUCUUGAUGCCUGUUCCUGGCUGGGGAAAUCGGGAUCAGCUGUGGUGAGUCAUGACUCCCCGUCUAGUGUCCCAGACAUUUUCUGGUUGUAGCAGAGUUAAGGACUUGACUUUAGUUUUCUUUCAUUUUUGUCUUUUCCUUCUGUUUUCUGUCUUUUUUUUUU
rnacentral:lncRNA from 1 species